rnacentral:rRNA from 1 species
UACAGAGGUCUCAAGCGUUGUUCGGAUUCAUUGGGCGUAAAGGGCGCGUAGGCUGCGGGGCAAGUCGGGUGUGAAAUCUCAGAGCUCAACUCUGAAACUGCACUCGAUACUGCUUUGCUUGAGGACUGGAGAGGAGAUUGGAAUUCACGGUGUAGCAGUGAAAUGCGUAGAUAUCGUGAGGAAGACCAGUGGCGAAGGCGGAUCUCUGGACAGUUCUGACGCUGAGGCGCGAAGGCCAGGGGAGCAAACGGG